GACGAGGAUUUUCAAAAAAAAAAAAAAAAAAAAAAAAAAUUACGAUAGAGUAUCGAAAUUCCGAAGAUAGAUUUGCAAAUGAUAGAAUAUUAAGUUCGAGUUUCGCGUGUUUUCGAGUGUUUUCAUCCGCUGUACAUCAUGACACCGGAAGCGGAGGUGCGUCAACGAUAUUUACCAGGGACGUGCUUGGCAAACGAGUGUUGCAGCAAUUAGCAGCCGUUGGACGACCAAUCAUGAAUCGAUCUAUCUGCAUCGGUUACGCCUUAUCACCGUUAAUCCGAUAAAAGGAAGGGCGGACGAUCGUUAAACCCUGUCGAUAUUGGCGCGCGAGAUCGACGGCUGGUGAAAAGGAAAUCGUUGCACCUCGGCGCACAAGUCGCGACGAACUUUUUGGGAAAUUAACAUGCCAGACACGUGACAUCGAACGAAUAGCUUUUGUAUUGUACAAUAUUCGAGAACGAAUUCUAGAGAUACGGCGCACGAAGAUUUUUAACUGCUAUAUUUACUAUAUGUACGUUUGUGAUACGCAACUUUAUGCCAAGAAUGAAGCUGAAGCAUCGGAGGAAAUUGAAUUGAAACACGUCGAAACGAAUGUUCGCGAUUAGAAACUGUGAGAGGAACGUUCCGAGUUUUUAAACGAUCUCUGGUGGUUACGCAUGAUGCUUCAAGAGAUGGAGAUCGCUUUCGACAGAAUGGUCAAAAAUUUUACAAACACCUCGCACAACAACGAAACCCAGCGAUUCAUCGACGAUUUCGAUUAUAGCUUCGAUCGGCAACAAGUGGAGAAAAUAGUGGUGGUCGUGGUGCCGAUAUUUUUUGGCAUGAUCGGUAUACUCGGGCUCGUUGGGAAUUCACUGGUCGUCAUCGUGGUCGCCGCGAAUCCCGGCAUGAGAUCGACCACCAACAUCCUGAUUAUCAAUCUGGCCGUGGCGGACCUAUUGUUCGUCAUUUUUUGUAUACCAUUCACCGCCACUGAUUUCGUGCUACCGUUCUGGCCGUUUGGCAACUUUUGGUGCAAGAUGGUUCAGUAUCUCAUCAUCGUCACUGCCUACGCCAGUGUUUACACUUUAGUCCUCAUGAGCCUCGACAGAUACUUGGCAGUGGUUCAUCCCAUUUCCUCGAUGUCGUGGAGAACCGAGAACCACGCAAUCAUCGCCAUCUGCAUCGCCUGGGCGUUGAUUUUCGCGAUAUCAACUCCUGCAUUCUUCGUCCACGGCGAGUUUCAGGACAUGGACGACUCAUCGUCGGAGAAUCUGACGGCCUGCCGGAUCUUGCCGCAGUACAAUUGGCCGUUGUUCCAGAUGUCGUUCUUCCUGAUGAGCUAUCUGCUGCCGCUGAUGCUGAUAUGCUUCUUUUACAUUUGCAUGCUCAUCAGGCUCUGGCGCACGGACCGCGUCAGCGCCGAAAGCCGCCGCGGAAGGAAACGAGUCACCAGGCUGGUCUUCGUCGUCGUUGGCGUCUUCGCCUUCUGUUGGUGCCCUAUACAGGUGAUCCUGGUGACGAAAUCGUUGGACGUGUACCCAUUGACAUCAGCGACGAUAAUGGUGCAGAUAGCGAGUCAUAUUCUGGCGUACACCAACAGCUGCGUCAAUCCUAUUCUUUACGCUUUCCUCAGUGACAGCUUUCGAAAGGCUUUUCGGAAAAUUAUUUACUGCAGACCCCGACCAGAUCAAAACAGACAACUGGGACCAUUGACGAAAACCACGAGAGCUGCCAGCACCGGUGACAUCCUUUAGUAGUGAAGCUGUGCUCGGCAGAAACGUGUGACGAACGAAAUUAGCCCUAUUCUCCGAGAGUCGAAUCAUCUCGAAUUACUUGCAGCUUUCCAAACGUUCUAAAUCUUCAUCUGCUAGAGCGUCUUUGUUUAGAGCAAAUAGAAUUCGGGCGGAGAGUGAAUGCCGUAAGGGUAAACGAAUUCACGUGGAAUUAAGGUUGAACACGGAGAACUGGGGUGACGCUUAAUGGAAAGUACUUGUACUUAGCUCGCCCGUAAAGUCACCGACGCCUCGAUGCCGGAUUCGUCCACACUAACAACUGCUAAUUGCGCCGAUUUCACGUUGUGAAAUGAAAGGGUGUCGGUGGUAUCCGGUGGUACUCGAUGUCACACGCGCCGUGUGAACUCGAGCGUUUAGCGUCCGUGUCGUUUGAGCGUGACGACCGUAUCACGGGACAAUUGCAACAGUGACGUAUCUUUAAUCUUCCUAAUUAACUCGACGACCGCGUUGGUCGCGUGACGUUGCUCGAUUUUUAGAGCGGCUCUACCGUUUGUCCAGUGUUUCCGUGGUUUCGUAAUCGAGCGUGUCUCGUUUUUUUUUUUUUUUUUCUUUUUUCACCUCCGUGUCUGCUGAAGGUAAUGAAACCUAUUUUAUACAAUACAGCCUGCACGGCGAACGUGAACCCUGUAUGUACAUAGUAAGGUGGUCGUGAGAGUACGUAAUAAAAAAAAAAAUAAGUGAUAACGUUAAAGUUGCUCGACGAUGUUGGUUACUAAUCUAGAAUAGGUUUAGAAAAGGGUACAGCUUGUUGUUUGUCCUGUGUAAAGAGAUAUUGAAGUGGGAAGAAACGAAAAGAGCUUAAUGACGCCGUUGAUCGAGAGAUGAUCGUUUAAAUCGUUUAUUGGAUUCCUGUGUAACUAGCUUCGGCGAAGGUUCGCGGAGUCGCGGCAGAUGAGCCCCUGCCCGUCCGCGAGUCAGCCGAAGUCGAGAAAAUUGCGAUACGCACCUCGAAAGUAAUUUUAAUCGACGUUGUGAUGAUUUUCAUUUCUUUUUCGCCGGUAGAUUCUAAGAGCCGUAGGUUUAAGGAUUAUCCUACGUGAUUUGAUGGACAAUUGUUCUGUGGCACAAACUGUAAAUUACGUGUAAUACAAUAAUAAAGCCGCUGAUGUAAUACAAA